rnacentral:rRNA from 1 species
CCUACGGGUGGCUGCAGUGGGGAAUAUUGCACAAUGGGCGCAAGCCUGAUGCAGCCAUGCCGCGUGUGUGAAGAAGGCCUUCGGGUUGUAAAGCACUUUCAGCGGGGAGGAAGGCGUUAAGGUUAAUAACCUUGUCGAUUGACGUUACCCGCAGAAGAAGCACCGGCUAACUCCGUGCCAGCAGCCGCGGUAAUACGGAGGGUGCAAGCGUUAAUCGGAAUUACUGGGCGUAAAGCGCACGCAGGCGGUCUGUCAAGUCGGAUGUGAAAUCCCCGGGCUCAACCUGGGAACUGCAUUCGAAACUGGCAGGCUAGAGUCUUGUAGAGGGGGGUAGAAUUCCAGGUGUAGCGGUGAAAUGCGUAGAGAUGUGGAGGAACACCAGUGGCGAAGGCGACUCUCUGGUCUGUAACUGACGCUGAGGAGCGAAAGCGUGGGGAGCGAACAGGAUUAGAUACCCUGGUAGUC